rnacentral:rRNA from 1 species
AUAUCACUAAGCGGAGGAAGAGAAACUAACAAGGAUUCCCUUAGUAACGGCGAGUGAAGAGGGAAAAGCCCAGCACCGAAGCCUGUGGUUAUUUAAUCACUAGGCAAUGUGGUGUUCAGGUCGAAUCGCGGAAGCACUGCUCCUCCCCAAGUCCACUAAUGAGUACGGUAUUUCGGACAUGGCCCAUAGAGGGUGAAAGGCCCGUUGGGGUUGAGAUCAUGAAAGUCAGUGUUUUCCCUGAACAGACCUUGGAGUCGGGUUGUUUGUGAAUGCAGCCCAAAGUGGGUGGUAAACUCCAUCCAAGGCUAAAUACAAGCACGAGUCCGAUAGCGAACAAGUACCGUGAGGGAAAGUUGAAAAGUACUUUGAAGAGAGAGUAAACAGUGCGUGAAACCGCUCAGAGGUAAACGGGUGGAGUUGAACUGCAAGCUCUGGGGAUUCAGCUGGUGACUGUGUCAUGGGCUUGGUCAUUUUGGUUGGAUGCUGAGGUCUGCGUAGCAGCAGGUCCUUGCUCACGGGUGAGGAUGCGCGAUGCACUUAUCAAGUGUUGUGCGCCUUGGUUAUUCUCCGGGCCAGUUGCCAGUGCACUUUCUCAGAGUGUUCACCACGACCGGCACUGCUGUCUGAUUGUUGUAGUUAAACCGGUUCGACAUGGCCCACGUGGCUUUGUUGGGUCGGGAUGGCAGGUAGCUCGUUGGCUUGCCUGUGGUCCGCCGCAGGUUUUCGGCUUUCGGGUGUAAUCAGCUGACUAUAAUGAUUCUGUGCGGUGUGUCGGAGACGGCGGCUUGUGGUGUGUGCAUGCGUGCCUGUUUUGCUGGCGUGUCCGGGUUUGGUUGGCAUGUCGCCUGUUCAAGCAGGCCUGUUGAUAUCCCGGUUUCGUACAGUAGGCGGUUGCGUGUGUUGCACUUUCCAGGGCCUACAGUCUGUGGUGUGGUGGUAGACUAUCCACCUGACCCGUCUUGAAACACGGACCAAGGAGAGUAACAUGUGCGCGAGUCAUUGGGCGUAACGAAACCCAAAGGCGCAGUGAAAGUGAAGGUUUGGCUUGUCCAGACUGAGGUGAGAUCCCGUCGUUUCUCACACAUGGUGUCACCAAGUAUCGAGCGGCGGGCGCAUCACCGGCCCGUCCCAUGACGUAGACGCGGUCAUUAGACUGUGCACCGUCGGGGCGGAGCAUGAGCGUACAUGUUGAGACCCGAAAGAUGGUGAACUAUGCUUGCGCAGGUUGAAGCCAGAGGAAACUCUGGUGGAGGACCGCAGCGAUUCUGACGUGCAAAUCGAUCGUCAAACGUGAGUAUAGGGGCGAAAGACUAAUCGAACCAUCUAGUAGCUGGUUCCCUC